AACGGCUGCCUGCGGCCGGCGUUACCCCGCUGUGAGGCGCCGGCCGCUGCGCGAGCGCGCUAGGUCCGCGCCCCCGCUCGGAAAAGCUGCCCCUGCGGUCGGGGUGGCACCCCCCCGCUCGCACACGGUCCCGGAGCUCCCCACCGAGCCCCGAGGGCACCAGAAGCGGCCUCCUCGGCUCGCAAGAAGCGGGGAAAAGCCGCCUUCCCCGGGCCCGGCAGGCAAGACUUUUGACAUCUACUUCAGUGGGAGCAGAAACAGACCUUCUGUCAGUUACUAAUCACAGAAGUUCAAAAAAACGCUUUCACUGGAUGUGGAAGUCCAGCAAGGCCCCCGCCCCAGUCCACUUCCAGGGGUCUCCCAGCUCUGCCUAGCCAAGGUGCAGCUGCCCAUGGACUCAGGAGGGAGGAGCCCAGCCUUGGGGCCCAGCAGCUGGUGACAUUUCCCUUGCCCUGCCUGCCUGCAGCACAGCUCCAUGGAAGCAGCAACAAGCUCURCGAUGGGCCAGAAGGAUUUGCACAGCCUCACCUCCUUGAAAGGCAGAAGGMGAAGGGGCAGCUUGGCAGCAGCUGUAG
rnacentral:lncRNA from 1 species